rnacentral:rRNA from 1 species
AAUCUACCUAGUAGAAGGGGAUAGCCCGGGGAAACUCGGAUUAAUACCGUAUACCUCCUUUGGGAGAAAGAGGGCCUCUCUUUGAUGCUCUCGCUACUAGAUGAGCCUGCGUAAGAUUAGCUAGUUGGUGAGGUAAUGGCUCACCAAGGCGACGAUCUUUAGCUGGUCUGAGAGGACGAUCAGCCACAUUGGGACUGAGACACGGCCCAGACUCCUACGGGAGGCAGCAGUAGGGAAUAUUGGACAAUGAGCGCAAGCUUGAUCCAGCCAUACCGCGUGUGUGAAGAAGGCUUUCGGGUUGUAAAGCACUUUAAGCAGGGAGAAAAAGUUAUAGGCUAAUACCCUAUGACCGUGAUGUUACCUGCAGAAUAAGCACCGGCUAAUUCCGUGCCAGCAGCCGCGGUAAUACGGAAGGUGCAAGCGU